GAUGAAGAACGCAGCGAAAUGCGAUACGUAAUGUGAAUUGCAGAUUUCAGUGAAUCAUCGAAUCUUUGAACGCACAUUGCGCCCGCCAGUAUUCUGGCGGGCAUGCCUGUUCGAGCGUCAUUUCAACCAUCAAGCCUUCGCUUGUGUUGGGGCCCCGCGGCUGCCGCGGUCCCCUAAAUCCAGUGGCGGGCUCGCCGUCGUACCGAGCGCAGUAGACAUCCUCGCUCCGGGAACCCGACGGGUGCCGGCCGUGAAACCCCCCACAUCAAGGUUGACCUCGGAUCAGGUAGGAAUACCCGCUGAACUUAAGCAUAUCAAUAAGCGGAGGA
rnacentral:misc_RNA from 1 species